rnacentral:rRNA from 1 species
AUUGAACGCUGGCGGCAUGCCUUACACAUGCAAGUCGAACGGCAGCACGGGAGCAAUCCUGGUGGCGAGUGGCGAACGGGUGAGUAAUAUAUCGGAACGUGCCCAGUCGUGGGGAUAACGUAGCGAAAGCUACGCUAAUACCGCAUACGAUCUAUGGAUGAAAGCGGGGGAUCGCAAGACCUCGCGCGAUUGGAGCGGCCGAUAUCAGAUUAGGUAGUUGGUGAGGUAAAGGCUCACCAAGCCGACGAUCUGUAGCUGGUCUGAGAGGACGACCAGCCACACUGGGACUGAGACACGGCCCAGACUCCUACGGGAGGCAGCAGUGGGGAAUUUUGGACAAUGGGCGCAAGCCUGAUCCAGCAAUGCCGCGUGUAGGAUGAAGGCCUCGGUUGUAACUAGCUUUGUUACGGAACGAAACGGUAGA